GCGGCACGGCGAUAGCAAGUUGAAUGCGCCAGUUCCCAAGGGAUCACUGAAGCAACGUCGAACGUGGUUGGUAUCCAGAUGGGAGGCCCUCUGGGAAAUCGGGCGCUGCUCGCU
rnacentral:rRNA from 1 species